UCGAUGAUUUAGCCAAUGUUCGA
rnacentral:siRNA from 1 species